UACGGAGGGUGCAAGCGUUGUUCGGAAUUAUUGGGCGUAAAGGGCGCGUAGGCGGUGCGGUAAGUCUGCGGUGAAAUCUCCCGGCUCAACUGGGAGGCUGCCGUGGAAACUGCCGUGCUUGAGUGUGGGAGAGGUGAGUGGAAUUCCCGGUGUAGCGGUGAAAUGCGUAGAUAUCAGGAGGAACACCAACGGCGAAGGCAGCUCGCUGGGACGGUACUGACACUGAGGCGCGAAAGCGUGGGGGAGCGAACAGG
rnacentral:rRNA from 1 species